rnacentral:rRNA from 1 species
UGGGGAAUAUUGCGCAAUGGGCGAAAGCCUGACGCAGCGACGCCGCGUGAGGGAUGAAGGUUUUCGGAUCGUAAACCUCUGUCGGAAGGGAAGAAAGCGUACCGUGCCAAUCAGCGGUGCGUUGACGGUACCUUCAAAGGAAGCGCCGGCUAACUCCGUGCC